AGGGGCGGGACGAACCUGGAAGCGCUGCGUCGAGAGCGGGCCACGAGCCCACGCUGAGGGCGGAGCGGCCAGGAGGCGGGGCUUAACGCCAGCUGUCAAUCAGUACGUUUUCCUGGUGGUCUGCGUUCCCGUCGCUGCUUAAAAUAAGAGGACAAAAUAAAACUAAGCAUUCUUUCAUUUGUAAUCAGGCUCCUGCAAAGUAGCUGCUAUUGUUACCAACGUUUUACUAAUGAGGGAACAUUUUACUGAUGAGGACUUGAGCUGUCUUGAUAGCGACUGGGGCUGUGUUGUACUCUCAAGGCUGGAAGCUGCCUGCCUCUUCACUACUGAGCUUGCCAUAAAGCAGGUGUCUGUUUCCAACUCUGGCAAAGCAACAUCCACAUUUGGAACAUCAAGCUCUCAUUGCCUUCCAUGGAUGUGAGUGUGGAAUGGCCAGGCAAGCAAGACAGGCUGAAUUGAGCCCCGAUCUCACAAGAGUUCAGGUGGAGUGCAACCAGCAGAGAUCUACAGGCCAAAUCUGCCUCAUAUAGUCAUGAUUUCUUUGGCCCAUAAAGGGUUGAAAAUUGGAAUUGUCCUCCAAUAUUUUAACUGUGGAAGUGUAUCACACACAAGUCAGAUUUCUGGUCUAUGUUGAAAAACCGGAAAGUCAGACAGUAGUGGCCACAUGGUCAGAUAGCAACAACGAACUGUGUGGAGGCCCCUCUCUAGAGAGAGCUUCAGUUUUAUAGCUUCUCCAUAGUUCCUGGCAAUUCCCAUUGUCUUCCAGAACUUGAGGCCAUUUAUUACCUGAUUUGGGGCCCAUUUGAAACAUCCCUGUUACCUGCCUGGCCUCCGGCUAGAGGAGACAUGUUAUUAGAUGGCAGGUCUGCACCCAUGCCUCCAUUGGAGCCCAGGAAGGCAGGCCCCAGGGCUUAGUCCCAUCACCACAGAUGAUGCACAAGGCAAACAAUGAGGAAUAAGAGCCCUUAUGUUAGGGUUUGGAUGUGAGGUGU